UUGCUCUUCAACGAGGAAUUCCUAGUAAGCGUGAGUCACCAGCUCGCGUUGAUUACGUCCCUGCCCUUUGUACACACCGCCCGUCGCUACUACCGAUUGAAUGGCUUAGUGAGCCUUUGGGACUAGCCGCUUGUACCGGCAACGGGAACGAGUGGCCGGGAACUUAGGCAAACUUGGUCAUUUAGAGGAAGUAAAAGUCGUAACAAGGUUUCUGUAGGUGAACCUGCAGAAGGAUCAUUAGUGAAUGCCUGGGCUGUCAUACGGACUGCGGUCUCUGACGCCCACCCACUAUAUCCGCAAACCCUGUGCACUGUGGUGUUGUCUUGGACACACCUCGCCAACCAACUCGUCUUUGUAUCUGUACGUGUCUACUUGGCCUAAGCCAAAAAUCAACACAACUUUCGACAACGGAUCUCUUGGUUCUCCCAUCGAUGAAGAACGCAGCGAAACGCGAUAGGUAAUGUGAAUUGCAGAAUUCCGUGAAUCAUCGAAUCUUUGAACGCACCNUGCGCUCCAUGGCAUUCCGUGGAGCAUGCCUGUUUGAGUGCCGCGAAAUCUCCCACCCCUAGCGGUUGCCGCAAGGCGCCGCCGGGCGGCGGGGUUGGNNGGGUGCCGCCGCCUGGGCUUUGGCCCAGGCUCGCCCGAAAUGCAUGAGCGCUUAGCACUCGCACCGUCUCGAGGGAAGGCGGCGGAGCUGGCAUCUGCGCAUGGNNGAUACGUCANNGCUGUGUGGCAGCCCAGCGACCCGAGAGUGUGUGUGCGCUACUACACGCCCUUUCACUUCUGGUCUCAAAUCAGGUAGGAUCACCCGCUGAACUUAAGCAUAUCAAUAAGCGGAGGA
rnacentral:rRNA from 1 species